ncrna:unclassified sequences L31-Firmicutes ribosomal protein leader
CUAUGAUUUUUUUAAAUCAUGGCGGAAGGAG